GACCCGCACAAGCGGUGGAGCAUGUGGUUUAAUUCGAAGCAACGCGAAGAACCUUACCAAAUCUUGACAUCCUUUGAAAACUCUAGAGAUAGAGCUUUCCCCUUCGGGGGACAAAGUGACAGGUGGUGCAUGGUUGUCGUCAGCUCGUGUCGUGAGAUGUUGGGUUAAGUCCCGCAACGAGCGCAACCCUUAAGCUUAGUUGCCAUCAUUAAGUUGGGCACUCUAGGUUGACUGCCGGUGACAAACCGGAGGAAGGUGGGGAUGACGUCAAAUCAUCAUGCCCCUUAUGAUUUGGGCUACACACGUGCUACAAUGGAUAAUACAAAGGGCAGCGAAUCCGCGAGGCCAAGCAAAUCCCAUAAAAUUAUUCUCAGUUCGGAUUGUAGUCUGCAACUCGACUACAUGAAGCUGGAAUCGCUAGUAAUCGUAGAUCAGCAUGCUACGGUGAAUACGUUCCCGGGUCUUGUACACACCGCCCGUCACACCACGAGAGUUUGUAACACCCGAAGCCGGUGGAGUAACCUUUUAGGAACUAGCCGUCGAAGGUGGGACAAAUGAUUGGGGUGAAGUCGUAACAAGGUAGCCGUAUCGGAAGGUGCGGCUGGAUCACCUCCUUUCUAAGGA
rnacentral:rRNA from 1 species